rnacentral:rRNA from 1 species
CCAAUAGCGUAUAUUAAAGUUGUUGCAGUUAAAAAGCUCGUAGUUGAAUUUCGGGGUUAGUAGGUUGGUCAUGCCUCUGUUAUGUACCGGUCUCACUGAUUCUCCAUUCCCGAUGAACCGUUAUGCCAUUAAUUUGGUGUUGCGGGGAAUUUGGACUGUUACUUUGAAAAAAUUAGAGUGUUUAAAGCAAGCUAACGCUUGAAUACAUUAGCAUGGAAUAAUGAAAUAGGACGUUCGAUCCUAUUUUGUUGGUUUCUAGGAUUGACGUAAUGAUUAAUAGGGAUAGUUGGGGGCAUUAGUAUUCAAUUGUCAGAGGUGAAAUUCUUGGAUUUAUUGAAGACUAACUACUGCGAAAGCAUUUGCCAAGGAUGUUUUCAUUAAUCAAGAACGAAAGUUAGGGGAUCGAAGACGAUCAGAUACCGUCGUAGUCUUAACCAUAAACUAUGCCGACUAGGGAUCGGAUGAUGUUAAUUUUUUAAUGACUCGUUCGGCACCUUACG